rnacentral:tRNA from 1 species
UGGGGUAUAGUUCAGUGGUAGAGAGUGUGCUUAACACAUACGAGAUCCUGGGUUCAACCCCCAGUACCUCCA